rnacentral:rRNA from 1 species
GCUUGACGGGUACGGGGAUUAGGGUUCGAUUCCGGAGAGGGAGCCUGAGAAACGGCUACCACAUCUAAGGAAGGCAGCAGGCGCGCAAAUUACCCAAUCCUAAUACAGGGAGGUAGUGACAAGAAAUAACAAUACGGAACCUUACGGUUUUGUAAUUGGAAUGAGUUAAGCAUAAACCCCUUAACAAAUAUCAAUUGAAGGGCAAGUCUGGUGCCAACAGCCGCGGUAAUUCCAACUCCAAUAGCGUAUAUGAAAGUUGUUGCAGUUAAAAAGCUCGUAAUUAAUCUUCUGUUAAUUUUUAUAUAUAAUAUCACGAUAUUUAUAUAAUAUUAACAUAAUUCAUAUUACUUUUUAAUAUAUGAAACUUUACUUUGAUAAAAUUAUAGUGCUUAUAGCAGGCUAUUGCCUUGAAUACUCCAUCAUGGAAUAAUAUUAACGAUAUUUAUUCUUCUUAUUGGUUCUAGAAUAGAAAUGAUGAUUAAUACGGACAGUUGGGGGCAUUUGUAUUUAACAGUCAGAGGUGAAUUCCUUA